rnacentral:rRNA from 1 species
GCGGAAACGAGUUAUCUGAACCUUCGGGGAACGAUAACGGCGUCGAGCGGCGGACGGGUGAGUAAUGCCUAGGAAAUUGCCCUGAUGUGGGGGAUAACCAUUGGAAACGAUGGCUAAUACCGCAUAAUGCCUACGGGCCAAAGAGGGGGACCUUCGGGCCUCUCGCGUCAGGAUAUGCCUAGGUGGGAUUAGCUAGUUGGUGAGGUAAUGGCUCACCAAGGCGACGAUCCCUAGCUGGUCUGAGAGGAUGAUCAGCCACACUGGAACUGAGACACGGUCCAGACUCAUACGGGAGGCAGCAGUGGGGAAUAUUGCACAAUGGGCGCAAGCCUGAUGCAGCCAUGCCGCGUGUGUGAAGAAGGCCUUCGGGUUGUAAAGCACUUUCAGUCGUGAGGAAGGUAGUGUAGUUAAUAGCUGCA